rnacentral:snRNA from 1 species
GGCAUAAAGGUGAUUUGGCUACGAUAUCUGUCAUCCUAUUGGUCAGUUGAUUUAGCUAAUCCGGCUGGCUGGGCAGAUGCCCCCUUCCUCCCUCAACAGUCCACGUGUGUCCUUCCUGCAUGUGUGGUUGAAGAGGACAGCUUUUCUCAAUAGAAGAUCACUCUUGGGUCAGGGCGCAAACCCUUGCUAGAAUUUCCAAAGAAACCUUUGAAGGUCCAUUUGUAGGAGAAUGUAGGGUGGUCAAGCUUUCAGGGUUUUAGACACAUCUAAAUCAGGUGCUGCAUGCAGCAGUCUGCCUUUCUUU